rnacentral:rRNA from 1 species
GACGAACGCUGGCGGCGUGCUUAACACAUGCAAGUCGAACGGUGAAGCGCCUUCCUUUUUGGUGGGUGUGGAUGAGUGGCGAACGGGUGAGUAACACGUGAGUAACCUGCCCCCUUCUUCUGGAUAACCGCAUGAAAGUGUGGCUAAUACGGGAUAUUCUGGGUCUGUCGCAUGAUGGGUCUGGGAAAGAUAUUGUUUCGGUGGGGGAUGGGCUCGCGGCCUAUCAGCUUGUUGGUGGGGUGAUGGCCUACCAAGGCGGUGACGGGUAGCCGGCCUGAGAGGGUGGGCGGUCACACUGGGACUGAGACACGGCGCAGACUCCUACGGGAGGCAGCAGUGGGGAAUAUUGCACAAUGGGCGCAAGCCUGAUGCAGCGACGCCGCGGGAGGGAUGGAGGCCUUCGGGUUGUGAACCUCUUUCGCCAGUGAAGCAGGCCUGCCUCGUUUGUGGGUGGGUUGACGGUAGCUGGAUAAGAAGCGCCGGCUAACUACGUG